rnacentral:rRNA from 1 species
AGGGGGCUAGCGUUGCUCGGAAUCACUGGGCGUAAAGCGCACGUAGGCGGGUCUUUAAGUCAGGGGGGAAAUCCCGGAGCUCAACUCCGGAACUGCCUUUGAUACUGGGGAUCUUGGAGUCCGGGAGAGGUGAGUGGAACUGCGAGUGUAGAGGUGAAAUUCGUAGAUAUUCGCAAGAACACCAGUGGCGAAGGCGGCUCACUGGCCCGGUACUGACGCUGAGGUGCGAAAGCGUGGGGAGCAAACAGG